rnacentral:rRNA from 1 species
AUUGAACGCUGGCGGCAGGCCUAACACAUGCAAGUCGAGCGGAUGAAGGGAGCUUGCUCCUGGAUUCAGCGGCGGACGGGUGAGUAAUGCCUAGGAAUCUGCCUGGUAGUGGGGGAUAACGUCCGGAAACGGGCGCUAAUACCGCAUACGUCCUGAGGGAGAAAGUGGGGGAUCUUCGGACCUCACGCUAUCAGAUGAGCCUAGGUCGGAUUAGCUAGUUGGUGGGGUAAAGGCCUACCAAGGCGACGAUCCGUAACUGGUCUGAGAGGAUGAUCAGUCAAACUGGAACUGAGACACGGUCCAAACCCCUACGGGAGGCAGCAGGGGGGAAUUUUGGACAAGGGGCGAAAGCCUGAUCCAGCCAGGCCGCGGGGGUGAAGAAGGUUUGCGGUUUGUAAAGCAUUUUAAGUUGGGAGGAAGGGCAGUAAGUUAAUACCUUGCUGUUUGGACGUUACCAAAAGAAUAAGCCCCGGCUAACUUCGG